rnacentral:rRNA from 1 species
UGGCGAACGGGUGAGUAACACGUGAGUAACCUGCCUUAGACAUUGGGAUAGCCUCGGGAAACCGGGAUUAAUACCAAAUAAAAUCAUAAUGACACAUGUCAUAACGAUCAAAACUCCGGUGGUCUAAGAUGGACUCGCGUCCCAUUAGCUAGUUGGUAGAGUAAAAGCCUACCAAGGCGACGAUGGGUAGCCGGCCUGAGAGGGUGAACGGCCACAUUGGAACUGAGAAACGGUCCAA